AAUGUAUAAUGAUACAUUGGUAACGCUGCAGCCUUGGGGUAGCCAGCCAACCUUGGAGAUCUGAGUGUGAG
ensembl:snoRNA SNORD39 Small nucleolar RNA SNORD55/SNORD39